AUAGGAAUUCUCCGUAUAGCACUGACUGUCUUGGAAGUCACUCUGUAUACCAGGCUGGCCUCGAACGCAAGACACCAACUUGCCUCUGGCUUCGGAGUGUUGGGACUAAAGGCGUGUGCGACCAAGGCUAGCUGGCAUUAAUUUCUAAUACCAUCUGACAGUCCAUCCUUUGAGUGAAAUGGUGUACCCCAUAGGUUCAAGUAUUUGAAAGGUUGAUGUCUGUCGGGUAGCGGUUCUGUGGUACCUUUAAGAAGGUGGAGCCUUGCUAGCGGAAGUCCCACCCAGUGGGUGGGGCUCCAGAGUGGUCAGCUGUUCCAGCAUAGCCGACCUGAUUCGCCGUGACACCUCAAGUGGUAAGUGUAAGAAGACCUUUCAAAAUCGCUUUUAGUCAGAAAUUUCGGUCAUCAAGUCCAGAAAAGAUGACAGUCGUCAAGCCUACCCAAAUUGAAGCGUCUGGUAUAGUAUUUUUGAUUUUUUUAGUUUCUCGGCUCAGCUAAGCUUACUUAGAAGAUUUAAUCAUUCAUUUCUGGACAGGGUUUCUCUGGCUGUCCUGGAUGUCGAUCUGUUGACCAGGCUGGCCCGGACCUCAGAUGCAAUCCACCUUUAAGUACAAGGUUCUUAUGCUUUUGUCCCUCACCUAUGUGGUGGUGAUGGAAUCCAGGCCUUGGCAGCACAGGACAAUAGUUAGAGCAGCCUAGAGUGUUUUCAUAUUGGAUGCCCUGAUAGAUCCAGCCCUGCUUGGAACAUCUUGGGGCAGUGACCAUGUGGGAAAGCUUUCGUAGAGCUUAUCAUCUGGUCCUUUCUUUCCUGUCAGGGGGAUAGAGUGGGAUUCAUGCAGCCCUGUGAUUUUCUACUUUAUGGUGUUGGCUUUGCAGCUGAAGCUGCUGGAUCAAGUGAUGGGACCCCGAUACGUGUCGCACCAUUUUGCACCACUAGGGGAUGCUAGCAGGCCUUGUCUGUGGUUUAGGUUGACAAUUCUGGGCGGCUAGCAGCUUUGACUUCCAGAUCCCGGAAGGUGGAGUCCCAGUGAGUCUGGGCCUCAGGCAAAGCCCUCAGGGUGAUGCUAGGGUAUCUGGGAGUCAUCUGUACUUUGUUUGUUUGUUUGUUUGGUUUUUUUUUUUGGUUCUUUUUUUCCGGAGCUGGGGACCGAACCCAGGGCCUUGUGCUUCCUAGGCAAGUGCUCUACCACUGAGCUAAAUCCCCAACCCCGUCAUCUGUACUUUGAAUAACUAGAAUCUGGGAAGCAUGGGUAGGAACCACUGACCAAGGGUAUUGAGGACAAAGUAGACCUGGCCAAGUUGAUUUUGUCAAGUGUGUCCUGUUUUAGAUGUGGGCUGUGUGGUGUGUGUGUGAGGCACCAAAUUAUCUCGUAUUUGGCUGUGAUAACGUAGACAGUCAGGUUAAAAUAUUUGCCACAACUCUCAGAUUGGAGGAGGAAAUCUCCAGACUAGGACAGAUCUUCAACCUCAUGUCUCGCUGUCUCCUUCAAAUCCUGCGGAUCACGAUUUAAAGCUCUCAGCUACCCUUCUAGCACCAUGCCUGUCUGCCUGCCUGCAUGCUUCCCCUCAGGAUGCUAAUGGACUAACCCUCUGAAACUAAAAGCAAGCACCCAGUUGUAGCAGUAAAUAAUUAAAAUGGAUGCAGGGGUGGGUGGGGCACCAGGCACCAGCCACACUGCCUCCUGCUCGUCUCUGUCCCCAGCGAUCUCUCCACCUCCAUGGCUAGCCCCAUGUUGGCACUGGCUCCUCUCUGGCCCCAGCAGCAGCUGCCAUCCUGGGACUGUGCUGUGAACCCUGCUCACAAUCCCAGCAUCUGUCCCUGUGGCUACAGUCACAACUCCCAGUAGCCAGUUAAAAUCAAAACCCAAAGCUUGUAGUUUAGCAGUCAGAUUCAUAUCAGCAAAUUCUCAGUCCACAAAACGUCCCCACAAUAAACUCACAAGCAAUUGAUAUUGAUGUAAACUACCUGCCUAGAUAAGACAAAUUGUCCUAUAUAAAUCUGUCCCUUAUGAAAUAUUCAUAGCUACCUUUGCCUGGUUAAAGCCACGCAGAUCUGGGUCGUCCUUCUCUGCCUUUUUCUUGGUUCUUCUACCUCCUCAUCUCUCCUGCCUUACAAAACCUCUGCCCCCGCCUUUCUUUUUUCACUGCCCAAUCACAGGUCUUGCCUUAUCUUGUACCUGCCCUCACCUGCAUAUAGACAUCAGUUCUACCCAGUGAGUGCUUUCUUUCCUUUAUAAGAGAGAGGGAGAGCGAGGGAGGGAGGGAGGGAGGAAGAGACUGGAGAGACUGACUUAGAUUGCACAGGAAUGGAAGUCUGUUCAGUUGGAGGCUGGCAGGUUGCAGAGACAGAGGCAGGGUGAGGGGACACCAGGACACUGAUUGGCAAUGAGUGGGAGGGAAAGCUCUCAACCCUGUGUGAGAGAGACAGCUGUUUCCUGUUGGUUUUUUUUUCCCUUUUGGUACUAAUUAGAUUCCCCAAAGAUGGUUACAUUAUUAAAUUACAUCAUGCAAAUCAUAACCUGUCUCCUGCUCUACACUUGACUGCCAUGUUUGCUUAAUGGGAAUUAGGGAAACAGAUUACUUAAUUCCUGGGAAACUUGGGUUGAUAAGAAGGCUCAGUGGAUAAAGGCAAGUGUCACCAAACUUGAUCGUGAGUUCAAGCUCUUGGACCCACCACAUUCUGGGUAAUAACCCACCCUAUAAUUGGUUAUCUGGCCUUACAAGUGCAACUGUGUGUCAAAUUCCUAAGAGAUAUAACACAGUUUUAAAUACUGAUAAAGACAUCUUUAGAGAUGUCAUCUAUAUGAAUAUGUCAGUUGUACAAAAUAAAACAGUUAUUGAAGUUAGCUUGACAAUUUAGUCCUUUAAAUAAUAAACAUAACUUCUCAGAUUAACCACCUUAGUGUCGCUUCAGUGGCAGUAAAUACAUUCAUAUCUUUGUGUGACCAUCCCUACCAUCUGUCUGCCCAACUUCUUCACCUUGUAAAACUGAAACUCUGUACCCAGUUAACAGAAACUUCUCAUUUCAACCUUGGCAACCAGCACCUGGCAGCAUCUGGUGAUCCUUUUGUGUGAGCGUGUGAGCCUCCCAACUGGCUGGUGUGCGCCACAGUGCUACAGUGGCCCACUGUGGCCGGCAACUCCCCUUUGUUAAGACUGAGUAAUCACAACCUCGGCCACCCACGCGCUUCUUUUUUAAAUGACUAACUUUAGCCUUUGCCUUCUUGUCUCUCCGUGUACCAUGUGUGUGCAGUGCCUGUGGAAAAAACAGCUAGAAAUCCUCUAAGAGAAAUAUACACCUUUUGUUCCCCUUAAGUAUUUAAGCAAACCUUUGUUAAACAUUUACUUCUCUUUUUGAGUUUGUAUGUUUGUCCGUGAACCAUGUGUGCGUCCGGUCCUGGAGUUACAGAGGCUUGUAAGCUGCCAUGUAGGCACUAAGAACCCACCCAGGUCCUCUAAGCAUAAUCAGCGCUCUUACCUGCUGAGCCGUCUCUCCAGCCCCUUACUUGGUUGUUUGAAACAGGGUCCCUCUCAGAUCAGCUCUGAUUAGACUAGAACUUGCCUUGUAAACCAGGCCAGCUGUGAACUCACUGAGAUCUGCCUGCUUCUGUCUCCUGAGUGCUGGGAUUAAAGUCGCGUGUCACCAUGCCUGGCUUAAUGCAGGUUUUCUAUUUUAAGUCUCACCAAAACUUGUUGCCAUCAACCUUGUGAACAUGAGUUGGACCCCGUAGCACACUAUCAAAGAUAGGAGAGAUGGGUCAGUGGUGAGCACCGGCUGCUCCUCCAGAGGAUUUGGGUUGCAAUCCUAGCGCUCACAUAGUGGCUCACAGCUGUCUGUAACAUCUCCCGGGCAUCCGAUGCCCCCUUCCGUAUUUUCCAGGCAUCACAUGUUACACAGACAUUCAUGCAGGCAAAACACCCAUACACAUGAAGUAACACAAUAAUAAAAAUGAAAAAAAAAAAGAUAAGAAUUCAAAGAUGUUCACUGAGGCUGCAGAGAAGCCUCAGCUGGUAAAGGGCGUGUUGCCAUUGCCAAACUAGAGGAGUUAAGUUUGAUCCCCAGACCACAUGGGAGAACUGACUCCUACAAGCUGUCCUGUGACCCCAACAUGCGCCUGCACACGCAUACACACACACACACACACACACACACACACACACACACACACACACACACAGACAAUAUAAGCACAUAUAGUAAGUAAAGAUUUUUAUUAGUUUCUCCUUUAUCUUUGGCCUGUGUGCAUACCAUAUGCCACCCCUGCAUACAUACCGUAUAUACAUAAGUGCUUGACUCCCCUCAUCCCUCUGCCAAGUUGAGGGUGUGGUCAGAGCAGUUUGAUAUCCUGCCCUUUUUUUUUUUUGUUCUUUUUUUUGGUUCUUUUUUUUCGGGGCUGGGGACCGAACCCAGGGCCUUGCGCUUCCUAGGCAAGCGCUCUACCGCUGAGCUAAAUCCCCAACCCCUGAUAUCCCGCCUUUUUAAAGGUCUUGGCAUAGUUUCUUUCUUUGUUUUGUUUUAUUUGUUUGUUUGUUUCUUAAACAUUUUUACUGAUUCUCUGGGAAUUUCACAUCAUAUACCCCUAUCAGACUCACUUCCCAGUCCUUCCUCGCCCCUCACCCUUGUGACCCCCUCCAAAGAAAAGUAAAAAUAAAAAUAAGAAAAAAUAAAAACUAAAAAAAUGACAAGGUCUCUAUGCUCCAUGGAGCCUGGUCAGACUCUCCGUAGUCUGCUCCUUAGGCCUGAGUCCUUCCUCUCCCACAGCCCACCAGGAGCCACCAACUGUGGAGAGCCAUACUUCAGCCCCCCCCCCCCCCAUCACACUUUUUAAGAGCUCUCUUUGGUGGCUUCCUGUCUUGGCUGUGAGUAAAGGUCUUGGAAUGGGCGUAUGGGUUUUCACAGAAGCCUUUUAAGUCCCCUGUUUCCUGUGCUCUGCACAGUUUCCUGAUGUGUCAGUUUCUGACAAGCUGGCUGUGUGGGCCACUGUGAUAAGCCUUAUCCUCACCACAAAUUCCAAUUAAGUCAUCCCCCCACCCACCCGCCCGUGACUAAGAGAUGCAAAGGGAGCAGCAAAGUCCCCUGAUGCUGUUCAGUGGGUGUUCAGCCCUUGCAGUGGGUUCUCCCUUGUAUCUCUCUUUCCACUCCGAUGAGCCCGUCCCUUGUGUUCCAUGGUGGUUUGAACAAGAAUGGCCUCUCUAAGCUCCUGUAUUUGAAAACUUGGUCUGAAGUCAGUGGAACUGUUUGAGAAGGAUUAGGGGAUGUGGCCUUGGAGGAGGUAUAUCACUGGGGACAGGCUUGGCCGUUUCAAGAGUCCACCCACUCCAUUCCCCUCUUGGCUCUGUCUGCCUUCUGCUUGUGGAUCAGGUGAAAAUUCUCAGCUACUGCUCAGGCACGAAGCCUGCCUACCUGCCUGCCUUCCUGCCUGAUGGCCAUGGACUCCCAA